rnacentral:ribozyme from 13 species
AAUUUUCAUUUCCAAAACAAACAAACUUGUUUCUCGAAUUGAGAGAUAAGGGAAAGAGGUAAAAAAUGUUUGAACACCAAGAAGAUCCUCUUCUUUUUCUUCCUCAAUUUUCUCUCUUCUUCUCUUCUUCUCUUCUUCUC